AAUAAUGGAUAUAUUAUUUGGUGUUUGGCUGCUAUGCAGAAACUCUGGUUUCAUAACAUGAUGGGUGAAGAUGACAUCCAGGCACCACCCCUGUGCUUUAUCAGUCCACACAGAUGUUGCUUAAUUGUACUGAUAUGAAAUGUCAUAACACCAAAGAAGGGAGAAAAUGUGACGUAUAAAGGUUGACUGCAUCUAAAUAGCUUCCCCAUGGACACUAAUCAGAGGUAUGCUGAUAAUUGUCAUGGCUGUCCACUCUGGGAGAGGAAGCUGAAACAGGAGAAGGGUGCAGAGAGGUCCGCCAGCAUCCGGCUGCUAGCCAUCUCUCCGGUCAUCUGUGCUAUGCCAGCCAUGGCAUCCAGAGUGAAGCCUGCGGAAGACAAAGCUGGAUGCUUACAACCAAACCGCACAACCUCCCUCCAUAUUUAAUCACACUAAAUCUAAAUGCAAUGUGGAUAAACAGACGCGCAGGCAUUCCUGUUCCAACCCUGACAUUCAUCCAAGUCCAAAUCUGCACAAAUAAGAGGAGAAGAAGUGGAGAUGAGGAGCUGAGAUGCGGGGCGGGGAUCACAGAAGUGUUUACAACCACAAAAUGCUGGAGACUAAUCUUCACGGCAUUGUUUGCACGGACCCCAUGUGUUCAGUCAUUUCAUGGAAAUAGACUCGGCAGUAUUCAUCUGCACGCAUUCUUUGCAUUGCAUUUAUAUAUAUACAUAUAUAUUUACGAGUGGUUAUCUGCUUUAGUGCACUGAGAAUCUUACUGAAAAUGAAAUUAAAGUGGAAGAUGUGCGUCUCAUCUCUUCUCAUCUUCUCUAAUUUCUGGGCCCACUCUGAGAGCAGCCUCAUGUAGCUCUGUUAAUGAGAUUACCAGCACUUUCUUCUUAGGGGAUUGUAUUAGCUUUCACAUGCUGGACUCUCACAUUCCAGUCGCUGUUAUGUAAUUCAUACAGUUUUUGCAACGGGCAGGUAGAUUGCUCCGCUUUUUAAAUCUUUCUGUAGCAGUAUAUCGUUCUGCUAUUAACUUUUCUGGCUUUUUUUUGUCUCCUCUGCAGACUUUCUGUCGUGUAUUGCUUUUUAUUGUGCUAGCACACCAACAGGAAUCAAUAAAAGUAGUCUAAUUUCUCUCACAGGUGCACUCU